ensembl:lncRNA
GUCUCUGUUCUGACUGUCCUUGCAGGUCUCUGUUCUGACUGUCCUUGCAGGUCUCUGUUCUGACUGUCCUUGCAGGUCUCUGUUCUGACUGUCCUUGCAGGUCUCUGUUCUGACUGUCCUUGCAGGUCUCUGUUCUGACUGUCCUUGCAGGUCUCUGUUCUGACUGUCCUUGCAGGUCUCUGUUCUGACUGUCCUUGCAGGUCUCUGUUCUGACUGUCCUAGCGGGUCUCCACACCAUUCUGGGAGUACUAUUCUGUCUGUGAAGUCAAAUCCCUGGUUGCUCGUUUUAUGUUUUCUAUUGUAAACAAU